UACGUAGGGGGGCAAGCGUUGUCCGGAGUUACUGGGCGUAAAGCGCACGCAGGCGGUCUCUUAAGUUUGGAGUGACAGUUGGUGGCUUAACUGCCAAAGUGCUUCGAAAACUGAGAGACUUGAGGGCUUCAGAGGGACACGGAAUUCCGGGUGGAGUGGUGAAAUGCGUAGAGAUCCGGAGGAACACCGAAGGCGAAGGCAGUGUCCUGGGGAGUACCUGACGCUCAGGUGCGAAAGCCAGGGGAGCGAACGGGG
rnacentral:rRNA from 1 species